UGAAUGGCUCUCCUGCAUCAGUCC
rnacentral:siRNA from 1 species